rnacentral:rRNA from 1 species
GAUGAACGCUGGCGGCGUGCCUAAUACAUGCAAGUCGAGCGAACAGAUGAGGAGCUUGCUCCUCUGACGUUAGCGGCGGACGGGUGAGUAACACGUGGAUAACCUACCUAUAAGACUGGGAUAACUUCGGGAAACCGGAGCUAAUACCGGAUAAUAUAUUGAACCGCAUGGUUCAAUAGUGAAAGACGGUUUUGCUGUCACUUAUAGAUGGAUCCGCGCCGCAUUAGCUAGUUGGUAAGGUAACGGCUUACCAAGGCAACGAUGCGUAGCCGACCUGAGAGGGUGAUCGGCCACACUGGAACUGAGACACGGUCCAGACUCCUACGGGAGGCAGCAGUAGGGAAUCUUCCGCAAUGGGCGAAAGCCUGACGGAGGAACGCCGCGUGAGUGAUGAAGGUCUUCGGAUCGUAAAACUCUGUUAUUAGGGAAGAACAAAUGUGUAAGUAACUAUGCACGUCUUGACGGUACCUAAUCAGAAAGCCACGGCUAACUACGUG